GGUUCGUGUUAUUUUUUGUGGGCCUAGUUUUUCUACAAUGAGUUCUGUAAGCGAAGGCCAAUCUUAAGUGCCACAACCCAGUAGUUGUGACUUGUAUUGUCCUAUUUUUCUGGACUGUGUUUUGCUCUACUGUUAGAUAGUGUUAAAAUGGAUUUCCAUACAUAUCAAGUACUUACACAUAAGAAAGUGAUGUAGGUAGUACUGAAGUAGGGUUCUGCAUCUGCCAAGAUGUAGCCAGGUACAGCCUAUCCAUCAUGAUAGAGACGCAUGAGAUACAUUUUAAAAAUUAUUUUCGGUAAUGGAUGAUACUUAAUAUGUCAUAAAAAUAAUUAGGUGCCCUCCGGUGUUCAAGCUUGAUGAAGCAGCACUUACACAAUCAUUCCCAGUGGUGGAUGUGAAGAACACAUGUUUUGGCUUUGCUGUUUGUACUUCUUUAGCUUUGCAACAUGGAGGAGCACGCUUGAGUGUCUGCUCCCUUCGACGGGGAAGACAGUGGCCUCAAUUAGGUUAACUCCCGCACCUCAUGUUGGGCCGGGCUGUACCUGGAUGUGUCUACAAUGUGUACACAAAUUUCCCACGGGCAAUGAUAUUUGUUUUAAUUGUUUAUUCACCCCAUACUCACGUAUAUGAGUGUUUGUGCUGGGUAUUAUGUAUUGGAUAUGGUUACAGCCAUCAAGGUCGUACUACCUUGAACUGACAAAAUUUAACCAACCUGAUGUUUAUCAUUUUUACCAGCUUCCACCACAAGUCCUCUUCACUGAUAAGUUCUAAAAUGGAAUCAUUCAAUCAAAGAUGUAACGUUCCUUGGAAAAGAUGGCAGGACCCCACCAUUUCCAUAAACAAACAAACUUAAUAUAUGUAUUACAUUACUUUAUUCGUAUGUUUUUAUAGCAACUGCUUGCUUACAUAAAAUGGCGAGUCUUCAUCGGAUAUAUUUAAAUCUUUGUUCAGGAUGCUGUUCAUAUGUUUAUAUAUUAACUAAAAGUUGCAUCUUUGUUGCCCGUUUGUUUGUGGUAUUUCUGUAGUGAGACCCUGAAAAGCCUGAGGAGAAGAAUUUUAUUGCACUUUGCAUCAACAUGUGAAUAAAACCUGAAAGCCACAUAGAAGUAAACCAUUUUCUUGAUUUACCUUGCAUGUUACUCCCUCUGUCCCAUAAUAUAAGAUGUUAUUACAACCGAUAGCGAGGGAGUGAUUUUGAGGAUUAAAGACAUUACACACUUCGGAUCAAGAUGCAAUUGCAUAUUGUUGGACCUUCCGUAUCCAUUACUUCAUGUGGAAUCAGGAAAAGGCUGUUAAUACUGACAGAACUGAUGUACAUUUAGAAUUCUCAGAAGCCUGUGAGAAUCGCUGAUGGCAUUUAUGCAAAACCUUCUUAAAUGCACACCAGAAAUCAGUUCUGUACUUAUAUUCUCAGAAGUCCGUUGGCGAAUUGCUUUGAUAUGUAAUUAGUUUUACUUUCUAAACAGAACUUUGAUCUGUUGGCAUUAUGUUCUCGUACUGACAUACUUUAGUUUUUCAUCACUUUAUUGUAGGUAUCUGAGCUGGAUGUUGAAGUUUGAUGAACUACUUAGACAACAAUAAUUUUGAUAGGUAGUUAGUUCGUCUAAGUUCUGUUUAGCUCAUCGCAAUCACGGAGUUUUACCCCUUUGGCGUGCAACAGCCAUCCUGCUGGUAAGGUGUUUCCUAGAGCACAAAACCUUCCUUCGCCAAUCGGAGUUCAACACAUGGUUUGUUCGAGAAAUUUGUUUACGUCAGUAUUUUGCUCACUGAGGAGAGCAUGUAUGGGUAAAUUUUGCAUUUUGUUAGUUUGUGAUACACUAAAAAAAAAGGUUCCGAAUUGGCAGUGCGCCCGUUUUCACAAACAUUGUAUUCCUAGAUUUCUAAAGUACUGCACCCCAUCUUCUCGUCUGGAACUGUUUUCUUCUCGCUGCUGGAGCUGGUACGAGCCCCGGUCGUACUGCACCCCAUCUUCCGUUCUGGAGCUACACGAUUUGGUGACAAAAAUUGCCCUCCCUCCUCGUGUUAAUUAGAUACUGUAUUUUUGCAAAAAAUAUACAAGGAGGUGUGCAGCAAAAUUGAGACAAUCGUUACGCUAUUUUUAUUUACCUUUCGAAGUAAUAAGUACUCACUUUCAAGCGAGAGAUGAUGCACUGAGCAUGGUGAACAUGUCUUCUCAUAUAUCUGCAACGAGAGGGUUAGAUUGUUACAAUUUCUCUAAAAUCUUACCUUGACUAUUGUUGUCGGUGAACACUUCAUAAUAUUCUUUUGAAAC
rnacentral:lncRNA from 1 species